rnacentral:tRNA from 1 species
GGGAAGGUAGCUCAGUGGUAGAGCGCUUGCCUAGCAUGCAUGAAGCCCUGGGUUCGAUUCUUCAGCACCA